rnacentral:rRNA from 1 species
AGUGAACGCUGGCGGUAGGCCUAACACAUGCAAGUCGAACGGCAGCACAGGAGAGCUUGCUCUCUGGGUGGCGAGUGGCGGACGGGUGAGGAAUACAUCGGAAUCUACUCUGUCGUGGGGGAUAACGUAGGGAAACUUACGCUAAUACCGCAUACGACCUACGGGUGAAAGUGGGGGACCGCAAGGCCUCACGCGAUUGAAUGAGCCGAUGUCGGAUUAGCUAGUUGGCGGGGUAAAGGCCCACCAAGGCGACGAUCCGUAGCUGGUCUGAGAGGAUGAUCAGCCACACUGGAACUGAGACACGGUCCAGACUCCUACGGGAGGCAGCAGUGGGGAAUAUUGGACAAUGGGCGCAAGCCUGAUCCAGCCAUACCGCGUGAGUGAAGAAGGCCCUCGGGUUGUAAAGGCUCUUUUGUUGGGAAAGAAAUCCUGUUGGCUAAAUACCCGGCGGGGAUGACGGUACCCAAAGAAUAAGCACCGGCUAACUCGUGCCAGCAGCC